rnacentral:snoRNA from 1 species
CCCUUCUUGUUCAAAGCGCUGUGCUAAAAUCCCAGGGACCAGGGCGGAGCUCUGGGCUCUGUGAUAAUGCUAGCAGAGUACAUGCAGGAAGAAGAACAACCAUGCACUGGAUCGAAACUGACUGGGGUGGACCUCUUUCUUAAUGUCCAGUGUCCUGGGUCGGAAGAUCUGGUGCAACAGUU